rnacentral:rRNA from 1 species
ACGAACGUUGGCGGCGUGCCUAAUACAUGCAAGUAGCACGCUGAAGGAGGAGCUUGCUUCUCUGGAUGAGUUGCGAACGGGUGAGUAACGCGUAGGUAACCUGCCUGGUAGCGGGGGAUAACUAUUGGAAACGAUAGCUAAUACCGCAUAAGAGUAGAUGUUGCAUGACAUUUGCUUAAAAGGUGCAAUUGCAUCACUACCAGAUGGACCUGCGUUGUAUUAGCUAGUUGGUGGGGUAACGGCUCACCAAGGCGACGAUACAUAGCCGACCUGAGAGGGUGAUCGGCCACACUGGGACUGAGACACGGCCCAGACUCCUACGGGAGGCAGCAGUAGGGAAUCUUCGGCAAUGGACGGAAGUCUGACCGAGCAACGCCGCGUGAGUGAAGAAGGUUUUCGGAUCGUAAAGCUCUGUUGUAAGAGAAGAACGAGUGUGAGAGUGGAAAGUUCACACUGUGACGGUAUCUUACCAGAAAGGGACGGCUAACUACGUG